GAUGAACGCUAGCGGCAGGCUUAACACAUGCAAGUCGAGGGGUAACAGGAGUGCUUGCACUUGCUGACGACCGGCGAACGGGUGCGUAACGCGUAUAGAAUCUGCCUUACACAGGAGGAUAGCCUUUAGAAAUGAAGAUUAAUACUCCAUAGUACUGAAUUUUGGCAUCAUUAUUUAGUUAAAGAUUUAUCGGUGUAAGAUGACUAUGCGUCCUAUUAGCUAGAUGGUAAGGUAACGGCUUACCAUGGCUACGAUAGGUAGGGGGUCUGAGAGGACUAUCCCCCACACUGGUACUGAGACACGGACCAGACUCCUACGGGAGGCAGCAGUGAGGAAUAUUGGACAAUGGAGGCAACUCUGAUCCAGCCAUGCCGCGUGCAGGAAGACUGCCCUAUGGGUUGUAAACUGCUUUUAUACAGGAAGAAACAUAUCUACGUGUAGGUAUUUGACGGUACUGUAAGAAUAAGGACCGGCUAACUCCG
rnacentral:rRNA from 1 species